GCAUGUGAGUGUGUGCAAGCUCGUAUGUGUGCACGCUCAUAUGUGUGCACGCACUUAUGUGUUCGUGCUUAUAUGUAAGUAUGUGCGUCCAUAUGUGUGUUUGUAACAAUUUCGUUUAUAUCAGAUCAGAUAGAGACUUUUUAAUUAAUUUAUUUACGUUCAUAUUCCGCAUCAUAUGUGUGAACAACACAUGCAACCAUGGGCAAUUGUAAGGCCCUCAUCUACGUGUAUUUGGUGUUUAAAAUUGGUUGCGUUUCAGUUAUGAGGACCGACUCCUGUAUUUGUCGCAACGAUGCGUCACGACAUGAUUUCUAUGCUAAUUCUGUCCAGUAAACCACAAUGUUGUUCUUUGGCAUGCUGGUAGAGCACCGAGAAAAACAGACAUCUGACUGUUUAAAAACUUCAAAACUCACUAGUAGCGACUUCUCUUGAAAAAUGGACAGAAUUUGGCACCGUGGUGUUUCAAGUACUGGCAGAAAAAGGGUUUAGCCCCCAAGGACAUUCAUGCUGAGAUGGUUGCUACAAUAGAUUUGAAUGGGUUAACAGAACCUACAGACUGUUCUUUUCUUCUGAAGAUGGGCUUUAUGCCUGAGAUAUAAAGGUUUUAUUAAACUUCCUGCAUUGUCAAAA